CCCGGUCGGGGCCUGGGCUGCGGUGCUGAGCUUCCUCCCCGGGCCGCCCGCCGCUUUCGCGCAGCCGCGGCCCGGAGCUGGCGCGUUGUCCGCCCCCACGCCUGUAGCCUCGAGCUCUGGGAAAUCUCCCGCCCAGGCCGGGGCCCGGUGACAGAGAGAAUAGCAUAAUGGAGGAUGAUGUUUUACCCAGGAACUAACAGGACGUCCGGGAAAACCUGGCCCCAGACAGCGUUCAAGACCAUUCCCUUCUGCUUUUUUCCUGAGGGCAGAGAAUGCUGAUGCAGCAACAGUCACCUAAGGAAACAUUCCUCUCCAACGGCGUGGAUUUUUGGACACCUACACAUUGAGACAACUACUCAGCCAGGACGUGGGAUAGUCACUGAUAGGAUAUCACCCUUGGGGACAAAUACACUCUAGUUUCCAGUGGACGGUGGAAGAGGAAGGGGAUGAGGUGAAGAAAACUCUUCUUGGACAUUUAGCAUAGGGAAGGAGAGAAUGGGGGAGGGGUAGGAAGUGUGGUUCCUCCCCUUUCAUUUCAGAUCCUUCCAGUGUUUUUAUAUCUUCAACUUAAAAAAAAAUUCCCGAGUUUGAAUGGGAGAGGCGAGCAAACUCAAGGAAGGAAAAAGGUGUGAUGAGUAUAGGAGAGAGCCAAGGGAUCUGUUCAGGGAACUCCAGCUCUCCAGAGAUGCCCUCAGCCAUAGGUUUUAGCCUAGUGUAAGGGGAGCUGAUUGGGUACAUCUGCUGUGGCGGGAGAUCUGAAUUAAAAAAAAAAAAGACUCCAUGGCAUUAAAACAUUAAAAUAUACUCCCCUCCCCCAGCUGUCUCCUGUCCGGCAGAAUGGCAUUAUGUAAAAGAUCUGGCAUGUCACCCAGUGGCACAUCUGGUAGGUGUAGAUGGCAUUCAUUAGCACAGGGCUUCUACUCUGUAGCAUGCCAAAGCCCUGACAGAGAUACCCGCUGCCAAUCAUUCAUUCGUUGCCAAUCCCUGAGCGCGGCCGGGCGGGAUGGCUCCCUUCCACCCUGGCACCAGGACUGGAGGAAACAAUGUGUUGAGAUAUGAAGAGAUGAAAGCGGAGCUGAGGAUGCAAGGCACCCAACAGAUGUAUCCCGUGAGGAGAUAACGGUGCGAAGAGUCAUUUAGCAAGGAAGCAUAUGCAGGAUCUCAGGAGGGAGGCUCGGGCAGGGGUCUGCCUGACUAGGACUGAGCGGAGGGAGGGGCCGGGGAAUCCCUUCAGAAACCUCAAAGUUGAAGUUUCUUCUCUGAAUACAAAGACCACCCCCCAACCCUAAAUGUAAGACCCUCUCCCCAUCCUGUGUGUACUCUGUUCAUCUAACCAGCUCUGAAAAGAUGAACUCAGUCCUCCCUAAGGCUUUUGGUUACCAACAUAAAGAGAACCUUUAAAACCUGCUGUUUUUAAUGUUGCACCAUUCUCUUUGCCUUGUAAUUUGAGAGGGGAGGGAAGCU